ACCUGGACUUCAUCACCACUAGACACCACAGAUAUUGCUGUGCCAUGCCAUUUACAUCCAUGACACAGUGCCCUUCCCUGAGAUGUAAAACUGUCCAGCCGGCUGAUGGAGCAGCGCUGCCUGCCUAUCUCAAACAUGAGUCUUCAGGGCACAGUGACGCUGCUUCCCCACGGGAGUGUCGGAGAUGCCAUCCCGCUGUGUGCGGGUGACCUCGGAGUCCUGGCUCUUCUCCGUGUGAUCAGCAGGGACAGGAGGGUAAUAAGUUUGUGCUGCUUGAGACUGCCAGGCUGUGGUGAGACCUUAGAGCAGCGUCAAGAAACACACGCAGGCAGGAACCGGAGGCCGUCCCCAUCCAGCCAUGACCGGCUCCAGGCCUGGGGCCGCCACAGGAGGGUCACGUUGGAGGAGCCCCAAGGAACACAGCUGUGAGAGUCACCCCGGAAGAGGAGCACGGCCUGCAGCCCACGACAGAGCCAGCUGAGGUGGCCUCGCAGGAAGGAGCUGGGAGGCUCAGCGCCUGGCCCCAGCCUGCCCCUGCCCCUGCUAUCCUUCUGGGGUUCCCCGGGGGCUGGACCCCAAGGAAGCUGGCAGGACAGGAGCCUGUGAGAGCUACACCCUGCAGCUAAGCCACAGACAACAGAUGGCAGACAACAGAGCCUGGGGGUGGGAGGACAGGCUGGUCACACCGUGGACCACAAGGUCAGGAGCCAUGAGAGGCUAGGGGCCUGUGGGCUGGACCUGGGGAAAUAAGCAUCCCCUUCGCAAGUCUCAAGCGAUGCCCUCGGAUGGGCCCCAGCUUUGCUCUGCAUCCGAAUCCUGAGAGGAACCUGCAAAAAAUACAGACAUCCAGGCCCCACCCAGCAGCAUCUGAAUAAGACACUGAGUGGGGGAGGGGAGGGGGCGGUGGAGGGAGGCUGAAGGUGGAUGCUUACUGCUGCACCCGCUUCCUCCCCCACUGUCUUCCUAGUAGCUCCUUUCCUGGGAGAACGACGUCCUGUCCUCACAGCAUAUCUGGAGACUCAGUGUCUGACUCAACACGACCAUGCCCUUGACUCUGAGUGGAAUACAUGGGUCGCUUGUCUGGAAUCCAUGUGUGCCCGGUAUCCCAUGAGCUUGGCACUAGAAUUAGCUUUUGGAGAGAGACUGGCAACUGCAGUCUCUUUUGGUUCCUCAGUAAACUGGAGGGACCUGAACUUUGCCCAGGCAGGCUUGACGUUCUGUUUAUUCCACAUAUCAUUGCUUCUGCGAGGACCUUCUCAAAACAUAGGUGGUGUCUAUUGCCCUCAAAGAUGAAGAAUCAUCAUAACCAAAAAUGUGAUAUGUCCACAGUGGAUGAAUUAGCAUAAUAGUGAAGUGUUUGACUGUCCAGGGCUGCAUUUAGAUGAAGACUGAACUCACGCUGUCCACCUUGCUCACGAGUUGACAUAUACUUCCAUAUGGCACAGUUCAGGAAGAGAUUGAACUCGGCUAAGCCAUCCUUUUGUGACUUUGUAUUUGACGAUCCUAACUGGAGGAGGAAGCAGGAGUGAGAAGGAGGAACUGGAGUGAGAAGCAGGAGCUCCUAACAAUGCAGGAGACACAGGCACCAUGCGGAGAAACGCCCAGCGGCCCUUCAUGACCCAGAGCCGGGGAGCUGGGUGCGGGCAGAGGCCGCUGCACAUUCACCACGCUCACGCCACGUGCCGGCCUCAGGCUUGACAAGCUCAGGCCUUUGGUUAAAGCCUUUCUAGCACAUCAAUAUACUUUUCAUUCACAACCUAUGCUGAAGUAAAGUGCACUCUACGUGGACAAUAUUCACAGCAAUUUUAGAGACAGGUCUUAUCCUCCCUAUAUCACUCCCAGUCAUUGGUCCCACCUCUAAGAGGAAGACAAGUCUCUUAAUAGUCAACAGACAGCUUCCAAAGUUUGUCUCUCUCCUCUAAGUAUCACUGGAUCUUCUUUUGUUCACAAGGAUGCAGAACAAUGUUCCAAGUACUGUUACGUUUCUAAACUUUAAGAUUGUUCAUUUUUAAGAAACAAAUAACUAUAACCACAUAAUUAUGUAUAACCAAUAACUAUAACCUUGAUAAUCUUUCAACAUACUCCAAAAGGAAACUUUGAGUCCAUUUUACAUUCAGCAAGUUAAUAUUAAACUAUGUGGCACAUCAAAAGCUUUAAAUUAAUAAUGUGUGUUUUAAAUGUUACAAACCGUGUCAAGUGUACAUCUAAUAUAUGAACUAACAACUUAAAAUACUACUGUUGAGUCGGCUAUGAGUUCCUUGUAGUUAAAUAAGUUAUUACAAAGAGUAUUGUUAUAAAAGGUAUGUGCUAUGCCAAGCAAUAACAAGAUGUAGAUGUGGUCACAAGCUAGCUAUAGUAAAAUGAAAAGAAAAAAACUCUG
rnacentral:lncRNA from 1 species